rnacentral:rRNA from 1 species
UAGCAACUGCUAGUUGCAUGUAUCAAUUUAGUUGAAUAAAAUUCUGGGUAGAAUUAUGAUAAUGACAUUAUCUACUCAUAAGUCUUGACCAAAUUACGUGCCAGCAGUCGCGGUAAUACGUAGAAGACAAGUGUUAUUCAUCUUUAAUAGGUUUAAAGGGUACUUAGACGGUAAAUCAAGCACUAAUUUGCUAGAGUUUUAUGUGAAAAAGUAUUAAAGUACUGCUGGUGUAGAGAUGAAAUUCUGUCAUACCUUAAUGGCACAGGUUAAGGCGAAAGCAUCUUUUUAUGUAAAAACUGACGUUGAAGGACGAAGGCUUUGUGUUCGAACAGGAUUAGAUACCCUAGUAUCUAAGCAGACAAUGAUGAAUGUCAUAGAUUAGAUAAUUUGAUCUAUUAAUGAAAGUGUAAGCAUUCCACCUCAAGAGUAAUUUGGCAACAUUGGAACUGAAAUCAUUAGACCGUUUCUGAAACCAGUAGUGAAGUAUGUUGUUUAAUUUGAUAAUCCGCAAAAAACCUUACCACAAUUUGAAUAGAUAUAUCU